rnacentral:tRNA from 1 species
UGUCUGUUGGUGAAAUGGUAACACACACGACUUUGACUCGUGCAUUUCUAGGUCCGAAUCCUAGACAGACAACCA